rnacentral:lncRNA from 1 species
UUAAAGUUUAGAUAAAACUGGACAAUUUGUAGAAAACCAGAAUGAAACACAGUUGGAAAAAUUCUAACAAAAAUAUUAGCAAAUUUAAUCCAGCAAUAUAUAUUACAUCCAACUGAAUUCAUAAUUGGUUUAAUAUUUGAAAUUUUAAACAGUUGAUUAAUCAUAUAAGUAUUUCAGUAAAUUCCAAAACAAAUCAUGAAAUUCCCCAUAUGAAUAUCUUAUCUAGAAAAAUUCUUUUAGCAAAUUUGUAAAAUAAUAGACACUUUCUACUGAGUUUGGAAAGAAGACAAACAAUGCCAAAACCUUGUUUUCCUUCUGUAAGACUGAAGGUCCUUAUAAGUGCCCCCCAAAAAAAAGUAAAAGUAAACUCCACGGUUGUAAAAAUUCAGGUAAAAAUAACUAUUAAUCACAGCUGACCUGAUUUGUGUAAGUUGAAAUUACAAAAUAAAGGCAAAAUAUUAGACUAAGCUUUUAGCAAGCAUUUAGCAAGCAAGAAACUGUUAGUAGUUUCUUUAUUAAUAUGGUUGUGUGCAUUGUACAUACUGGCAGCAAGCAAAUAGAGAAUAAAUGUAAAAAAUAUAUAAUUUAUGGUACCAUUAGAAAAAAUCACAUAUAUAGAUAUUCAUUCUCUUAAAAUAUUUAGUCUUUAACACAGAAAACUAUAAAGCAUUAUUAAUAGUUAUUAAAUAUUGAUAUAAACAGAAUAUAUUAUGUUUCUGGAGUUAAAACUUUAUACUGAAAAAGUCAUUUUUUUUUUCCAGUUGAUGUCUAGAUGCAAUGAAGUCUUUCUCAAAAUCAUAAAUGGUUUGAGGGUUGGUAUGGUUGUUGGUAUGGAGGCUUACUCUAAAAUGUAUGUAAAAGUUCUAGGAAGAAAAUUAGCCAAGAUAAUCUUGAAGCAAAGGAGAAAGGGGACUGAGAAAGGGAGGAGGAGGAGAGGAAGGAUAGAAAAACCUAGAAGGAUUUAAAUUACCUUUUUUAAAGUUUUUAAUGUAGCAACUGUACUGAAUACAAGGCAAUGCUGAUACAAGAAUAAAAAUUAAGCCAGUGAAACAGAAUAUAGUGUUUAAAGAUUGAUUCACAUAUACAGGGACAGUGGAAUUAUGAAGAUGGCAUAUAGAAGGUUGAAGAAUGACCUUUUCAAUAAUGGUGUUACUUCAGUUGCAUAUCUUUGUGAAUCCAAAUGAAUUCCUAGUGAAUUCAAAUGAAUUCUUAUUCCUACUUUACAUUUUACACACAUAUCAGUUCUAGUUAUAUUGAGGAUCAUAAUACAAAAGUAAAAUAAUAAAAAUUCUAAAAAGUAAUGAGUGGCCUUGAGGUAAGAAUCUAUUUCUUAAGCUGGAUAUGUGAUAUACUAAUUCUAAAGGAAAGUUUGACAAAUUGAACUGCACCAAACUUACCAGUGUCUCUGUUCAUAAAGAGUUUCUAUUGAAUGUUAGAAGUAUUUGCAAUUUAUAUAAUAAAGGAUUUUUUCUAGAUUAUACAAAUAACAGGUAAAACCUGUUCCUAAUUUUUAAAACAAAAGAAAAUUGUUACAAGUGCAUUUCACCGGUAAUAUCCAAACUGUCAAGAAACAUAAAAGUGCUGUUUAAUUUCAUGUCAUAAGAAAAAUGCAAAUUGUAACCACGAUUAGGUACUAUUAUACACGAAUGAUUGAAAUUAGAAACUGACAAUAUAAUGAUGUAGAGAAAUGAGAAUUCUCUUACACUGAUGAUCGAAGCAUUAUAUACUAUAGUCACUUUGGAAAACUAUUUGGCAGGAUCUACUAAAACGAAGUACACUCAUUUUCUGUAACCCAGGAAUUUCAUUCCUAAGAAAAUAUACUACACCAAACAAAUGUGGUUGACUAUAUGUAUAAGCAUGGGUCCAUAGCAUUCAUGUCAUUAUUCCUAAAAGCAAAUAACUGAAAAUUCCCUAAACAUUUUCAGCAGUAAAAUAGAUGAGUAAAUGCGUGAAGGCAUCAUGCAAUGGGAAAAAUGCCAGCCAAUGAAAAUGAACUGUGUUUACUUAUAUAACAAUGUAAAUCACAUACCUCUAUACAGUGACAUCAUGCCAAACCACCCCACUCCCACCAUCUACUGACGAGUGCUCAAGUCUAAAUUUGGCCAAAGAAAGGGAGGUGGUCUGAGGAAAUGGCCCAGGAAGCAGAUCCUUGGACUUCCUCAAGGAUCUCCAUACAAAUCAAUAGGAAACUAGUCCUCUCUAGUUUAACCUGGCUGCAUUUCUAUUCCACUCCAGCAGCUCUUAAAUACCUAUUGAUGUCUAAGUAUGUGCCCCAUCCCCUUCCAUCCAUAGCCUGAUUAUGGUAUCUGCAGACUCUACUGGAACACUGAGACUCUUGUGUGAUGAAAAUAUACAUAUUAAGCUAGAGGUAUUGUCCCUGUCCUCAGCCCCACUGACCUCACCACCCAGUACACAUGACUUUCUAAGUCACUUUACUUCUCUAAAUCCAAGUUUUCUUUCUGUAAAAUGCAAUUGAAAAAGCUAUAUGUUAGGUGGGUAGGGUACUGUUUAUCUGUCACAGACUGGGGCAGGAGAGGGCAUGAGGGGCUCCUAAGGUAGCAAUUACAGUGAGUUUCUUGGUCUGGAUGCUGGUUACAUAGACUAUUUCACUUAUGAUUUGUCCAUUUUUGGUUCGUACAUUAUACUUCAAAUAAAAACUUUGUGCGGAAGACAUACUUGUUUUACCACUCUAAAAAUGUAUAUUGUGAUUGUAAAUCCUACAAAAAUAUAUUGAGUGAAUAUGAAAAUUACAUGCAGGGUAUAAUCAUUUAAUUCAUUCACGCAAACACUACUUAAAUAUCUAUAAAUUUUCAAGCACUAUGUUAGGUAUCCACACUGUAGACAUAAUCCCUGUUCUCAGAAAUUUUGGAGUAUAGCCGAAGUGCAAAAAUAAACCAACACAAAGGAACUGCAAUGAAAAGACUACUGCAGUAGGGAAUAAGGUCCGUGAGUUUACAUAUAUUUCAAUGAGAUAAAGUCCAAGUAAAAUGAAUCUAAUAUUCCUAUUUUUCAUGCUUGUUGUCUUUUGAAAGGAGGGUAGGGUGUCAUGAAUGGCAAGGGUCAGUAUACGGGCUUCCAAAGUACCAGUGAUUUUUCUCUUUAUGGACCUGUGUGGUGGUUACAUGCAUUUCACUUUUUCUUUUGAGUUAUCAAUGUUUAGUUGUUGUUUUCCAUAUAUACAGUUUAGUAUAUAAGUUUUCAUAGGUGUUCAUUUGAGAACCACUCAAAAGAAAAUCACAGAAAUGUUGAAACAGUGGUUUUUUUCAAAACUGCUUAUUUGGGAGGACAAAAAGAGUCAAUUCCCUAAUCAGUCACACUUCAAUGGAAGUUGCUUUUUUAUCACAAUACAUGAUCUUAUUCUGUGCUUUUACUUUUAAUUUUGUGAGGUAAAAACAAUUCCCUAGCUAGGAAAUUUUUCCAAGAAAUGUGUAAUGCAUUCCAGGUCCCAUCUUAAGAGAUGAAAUUUCAAAAGAUACUCUAUUUCACAGAUGUGACAGGAAAAUAUAUCUAUAAAUGUUUUCUUUUUUCCCUGUAUGGAAAUCACUGUCUCUAAGCCAACAACGAGUCCAUAAAAUUAAGUAAUCUAAACAUGUGUAUAUUCUUGUAAUAUAUAUUACAUAUGAAGCAAAAUAAAAUAGCUUCAGAUAUCUUUAAUUUACAAUACCAUAAGUUAUAGAUAGUAAAGAGAAAUGGCUGGAUUAUAUUUUCAUCAUAAGAUUGAGAGGAUUUGCUGAUAGCUUGUAUGUGGGAAAAAAAAAGGAAAAUACACUACAUCUUUGCUUUGAGCAACUGGGUGAAUGAAAUUGUCAUGCUCCGAAACAUAUCUGAUUGCAGCAUAUAUCUACAUUUAAGUAUAUAUAGUAAAGAAUUUUGAUAGCAUAUUUUAAGUUUGAGAAGACUAUUAACAUAAAAAAAUAAUGGAGACUUUGAGUUAGCAAAAAAGAGGUCAUAGCAAGAAAUGUACCUUUUAGUAUAUUUGAGGUGACCUGGGUUGAGGGAGGCGGUUGUGUCAAGAUGCAGAGGAAGGUCGGACUCUUCCCUCCACCCAACCUAGCUGGGAGGAGGUUGGUAUAAUAUUUAUAUUCUGUGCAUUCUAUGACCACAGUAAUACUUGUAUUUUAGGGUUUUUGUAAAGAUUGACUUAAGAAAGCCUAGGUAUGUCAAGACUAGAUUUAAAACUGGAGGUUCAGAUUCUUGACAAACACGAAUUAGUCUGUUAACGACGUGACGAUAUGUUUCAGUACCUCCAAAAGUACCUUCCCACAUCUCCCCUCAGCAAAACCACCACUACC